GACGAACGCUGGCGGCGUGCCUAAUACAUGCAGGUCGAGCGCAGGAAAUCGACGGAACCCUUCGGGGGGAAGUCGACGGAAUGAGCGGCGGACGGGUGAGUAACACGUAAAGAACCUGCCCUCAGGUCUGGGAUAACCACGAGAAAUCGGGGCUAAUACCGGAUGGGUCAUCGGACCGCAUGGUCCGAGGAUGAAAGGCGCUCCGGCGUCGCCUGGGGAUGGCUUUGCGGGGCAUUAGCUAGUUGGUGGGGUAAUGGCCCACCAAGGCGACGAUGCAUAGCCGACCUGAGAGGGUGAUCGGCCACACUGGGACUGAGACACGGCCCAGACUCCUACGGGAGGCAGCAGUAGGGAAUCUUCCACAAUGGACGAAAGUCUGAUGGAGCAACGCCGCGUGAACGAUGAAGGCCUUCGGGUCGUAAAGUUCUGUUGUAAGGGAAGAACAAGUGCCGCAGGCAAUGGCGGCACCUUGACGGUACCUUGCGAGAAAGCCACGGCUAACUACGUGCCAGCAGCCGCCGUAA
rnacentral:rRNA from 1 species